GGAUGUAGUUCAGUGGUAAAGCAUCUGCUUUGCAUGCAGAAGGUACCUGUUUAAAUCUCUGACAUCUUCG